CACACGCCUGAAUCUGCUCCGCCGCCAUUGCCGGAAGCAUCGGAAAGCUUCAAGCGGCGCGCAUCUCUUGGGACCGUGCACCCGUCCCCACCUCCACCCCCACCCUCCGUCUCCUACUCCCCUGUUCUAGUCCCCCACGACUACCUAGCUCCGCCACCACCAUUCCCCACACUCCCGUCUCCAAAGCUCCAGAUCUUGUCGCCGGUUCCCUUUUUACUUCUGAUAUUUGCUUUAGAUACCCCUCCGUCAAGAUCCCGCGUGCCACAUCGAAGAUCUACAACGCGGUGUUCCCCUGUGGCGGAUCAAAAGAGGAAGACAACGAUUCAAUCUCGUCUCUCCCAAGCGACGACGACUUGGCGGGCACGGAGAUGGAACCUGAGGACCAUUAAUACAUCUACAACACUACUGGUAGCCUUUCUCAGGGGAAGACAUCUUCUGAGGUAAAGGUCACGAGAAGGAAUCUUGCCUUCCUGGGUGCGGGACCAGUGGAGUAAAGAGCUGGGUUGCACGUGGGGAAGGCAUCUUCUGAGCGCUUUGGAUUGAGGAAAACAACCUGCAGAUUGCGUUUGAGCAGAAGGAGCCCAAACUGAAGACGAGGGAGCUCAAGCUGAAGGAAGUGAUCGGGAACAACAGCGAGAAAGCCUCGCGAACUUUUAAUGUGUAUGCCAAUGUGUGCAUCUCUGCUCUCAGCGU